ensembl:lncRNA
UGAAUGUAAUUAGGCUUUUUCCUGGUAAAAGAUUAGACGCAUGCAAAGGAUUUAUUAGGGGCAAGAUUCUCCUCUGCUAGCUGUUGAGAUGAAGUGGGGCAGUGGCAAGGAAACUGGGCAGCCUUUAGAAGCUGAGAGUAACCCCUGACUGACUGAUAGCAAAGAAAGAGGAGAAAUUAAAUUCUGCCCAGUGAGCUUGGAAGAGAACCCUGAGCUCCAUGUGAAAACAGAGCAGCAGCUAACACCCUGACUCUAGCUUUGUGGGAACCUAAACAGAGAAGCUAGUCAAAGCUAUGGUUUUUCCAGUAGAAUUGAUGCUUUUGAACUUUGGUGUUGGAGAAGACUCUUGAGGGUCCCUUGGACUGCAAGGAGAUCCAAUCAAUCCAUCCUAAAGGAAAUCAGUCCUGAAUAUUCAUUGGAAGGACUGAUGCUGAAGCUGAAACUCCAAUACUUUGGCCACCUGAUGAGAAGAACUGACUCACUGGAAAAAACCCUGAUGCCGGGAACGAUUGAAGGCAAGAGGAGAAGGGGACAACAGAGGAUGAGACGGUUGGAUGGCAUCACUGACUCAAUGGACAUGAGUUUGAGCCAUCUCCAGGAGUUGGUGACGGACAGGGAAGCCUAGCGUGCUGCAGUCCAUGGGGUCACAAAGAGUCGGACACUGAACUGAACUGACUGAAACAGAACCAGCCACGCUUUGUCAAGCUGCUAACUUUGUGGUAAUUUGUUAUACAGCCAUAGAAAAUGAAUACAGGUGGUCAUUUGAAAGAGAGAGACUGCCUGGACAAAGGCGCAGAGGUGUAGAGCAGCAAAAGGUAUGUUUGGGGAACUGAAGUCAUUCGGUGCAGACGGACCAUGGGGAGCAAAGGGGAUUAUAAAAUGUGAUACUGGGAACUCGGUUUUGUGUCAGAGAGACUGUGCCCUCGGGCUAGUUAACUUAGUUCUCUGCCCUGUGCCUCAGUCUUCUCAAAGUUAAAAUGGGGCUAAUGAUAGUAGUUAAAAUAAAAAGUUGUUUAGUGGGCCAAAUGCACAUGGAGGAGUCAACACAGUCUUCAGAUGUGAAGGAGCAGCGUGAACACCCACAUCCGGACAAUCUGUCCUUGGACAUGUACCAGGCAGCAUUUUCAGAGAGAAAUUCAGUGGCUGAAGCCCGCUCUGGGGUCCCCACUCAAGAGAGGAGAGGAAGGAAGCAGACAACAGAUACCAGAAUCACACUGCCUGGUCCACACCCUUCAUCCUGUGCCUACCUUGGUAACGUCUCCGUGCCUCAGCUUCCUUGUCUGUAAAAUGAGGGUAACUGUAAUAACCUCCCUCAUAAGGAUGUUAACAAAUAGAUGUUACAUACAAAUACUUGUGUAUUUAUUUUUUAAAUGGUUACUGGUAUCUGCCAAGAACUAGGAGAGAUUUGAGGAUUUACGCUAUUCGUAAGCUAACAAAUUAGUCUGCUCCUCUUUCAUGAGUGCUGGCCGAUAACACAAGACUCCUGGCCAGAGGCAAAUAC